rnacentral:rRNA from 1 species
CCGCGUGUGUGAUGAAGGUCUUCGGGUCGUAAAGCACUGUGGGGAGAGACGAAAAAGCGCAUCAGGAAAUGGUUGCGCCUUGACGGUACCUCCUUAGCAAGCACCGGCUAACUCUGUGCCAGCAGCCGCGGUAAUACAGAGGGUGCGAACGUUGCUCGGAUUUACUGGGCGUAAAGCGCGUGUAGGCGGACUCGCAAGUCGGUUGUGAAAUCCCUGGGCUUAACCUGGGAACUGCAUCCGAAACUGCUUGUCUUGAGUAAUGGAGAGGGUGGCGGAAUUCCCGGUGUAGAGGUGAAAUUCGUAGAUAUCGGGAGGAACACCAGUGGCGAAGGCGGCCACCUGGACAUUUACUGACGCUGAGACGCGAAAGCGUGGGGAGCAAACAGGAUUAGAUACCCUGGUAGUCCACGCCGUAAACGAUGAGAACUAGGUGCAGCGGAUAUUGACCUCUGCUGUGCCGUAGCUAACGCGUUAAGUUCUCCGCCUGGGGAGUACGGCCGCAAGGCUAAAACUCAAAGGAAUUGACGGGGGCCCGCACAAGCAGUGGAGCAUGUGGUUUAAUUCGAAGCAACGCGCAGAACCUUACCAGGGCUAGACAAACUAAGAAUCCUGAAGAAACUCGGGAGUGCUCGCAAGAGAACUUAGGUCCAGGUGCUGCAUGGCUGUCGUCAGCUCGUGUCGUGAGAUGCUGGGUUAAGUCCCGCAACGAGCGCAACCCUUAUCCUUAGUUGCCAUCAUUUAGUUGGGCACUCAAAGGAGACUGCCGGGGUCAACCCGGAGGAAGGUGGGGAUGACGUCAAGUCCUCAUGGCCCUUAUGUCCUGGGCUACACACGUGCUACAAUGGUCGGUACAAAGCGCUGCGAAGCCGCGAGGUGGAGCGAAUCGCAAAAAGCCGGCCUCAGUACGGAUUGCACUCUGCAACUCGAGUGCAUGAAGUCGGAAUUGCUAGUAAUCGUCGAUCAGCAGGCGACGGUGAAUACGUUCCCGGGCCUUGUACACACCGCCCGUCACACCAUGGGAGUCGAGUGCUCCAGAAGUGGCCACGCUAACCCGCAAGGGAGGCAGGUCCCCAAGGAGUGUUUGGUAACUGGGGUGAAGUCGUAACAAGGUAACC